UCCCCUAGUAAGGGCGACUGAACCGGGAAGAGCCCAGCGCAGAACCCCCCGCGCCGAGUCGCGCGGCGGGGCUUGUUGCGUGUCGGAGGGUCGUUCUUGCCGCGUGUUUCCCGAGACGUCCAAGUCCGCUUGAACGCGGCCACUGCCCACGGAGGGUGCGAGGCCCGUGCGACGUCCUCGGGCCGCGGCAUGGCCCCAUCCGCAGAGUCGGGUUGCUUGAAAGUGCAGCCCUAAGUCGGUGGUAAACUCCAUCUAAGGCUAAAUAUCACCACGAGACCGAUAGCGAACAAGUACCUUGAGGGAAAGUUGAAAAGAACUUUGAAGAGAGAGUUCAAGAGUGCGUGAAACCGUCGAGAGGAAAACGGAUGGCACCUCGAAGGUCGAACGGGAGCAUUCAGCCCGUCGACGCGUCCGGCGCGGGUGCGCGGUCUCACCGUCCAUGUGGCGGCCCGCGCCCCGUCCCGUCCGGGCCGUCGGCUGGCGUACUUGCUCCCCAGUAGGUCGCCGCGACCCGUUACCCCGUUUGCGGUCGAAGGCCCGUCGGGUCGGCAUCUGCCGCCUUCAAAGGGUGGCAGAGAAGCCCGUGCGGUGUCCUGGCUCGCCGGGUGACGGUCGUACAGCCAGUGCCCGCCUCCGUGUGCUAAACCACACCCAGGCGUCCCCCCUGUCCUGCUCCUCCUCUGGUG
rnacentral:rRNA from 1 species